UGAUGGACAGCUUUACCCACGAGCACUCUACACUCAUCCGGUUAGGAAAACUCCUUCCCUGGGAAGAUGGAUACAAGAGGCUACCCUCCUUAUGAAGUCCCAAGAACAAACCAAACGACAAUCUCAACAAACGUCCAAUGUGAGGAACCAAUGGCUUUAUGUGAGGGGUUACCCCAAAGCUGCAGGAUGGAGGAGCCGGAACCUCAAGUGAGUGUCCACUGACCACCCUCCCUGCUUCCUAGGAGGGAAUGUCAACAGUCAACAAGCCUUUCUUGGGGUCUCCUGCAAGAAGUCACAGCCAUUCUGAGGAAGAGGACAGUUGUUAGGCUCAGAGGAAGCCCUCUAUAUCACGGCCCUACUAGCGACUCCCACUUGUCACGCAAAGUCUGGCUUUCAAAACUACAGUCCCCACCAUCCUACAGGAAGUUCGCCAGUUGCCAUGGUUCCGACCGGAAGUCUUCGACUCCAGCAGAUGCUGGACAGAGCUUGCCCUUUUCGUCUCCCCGGAAGGCUAGCUACCUCACACAGCUGAUCGGCCUCCUUGGAUCCCUGAGUGUCUGUACUGCUUUAGAAGAAAGGCGGCGAUGGUGCCAGCAGGCAGCUUGGCUGUUCUGAGGAGGACAGGCCCCUCUGGCUGCCAGCAUCCUGGGUUCAAUCCUCUUCAUAGAGCCAAGAAGCCCAAGGCAAAGCGGGGAUCUCUUCCAUGAGCAAGCAACAGGCCAGAGGACACAGGGGAUGCACAGCAACAGAAAGGCACUUUCUCCUGCCCCAGCUCGGUGUUGGCUGUGUGAUGCCAAGCCACUUCUCAGCCUCUCUUGACUUCUGCCCUCUGCUCACGGUCUCUGCCUGUUGGGGUGUGAACUCGGAUGUUUAUCUUCAGAUGGUUCGUCACUGAGACCCAGGUUGCUUCAAAAGCUCAAAGCAAACCACAUCUGGAAGAUAAGGUGCCCCUGACAUUAGGAGAUUGCCUAUAAUAUGCAAGAUUAAUGUAUUCCCUAAGAUUUUAUUAAUUAUUUUGGUAUGCAGAGGUGUUAGUGGGUGGUUUAAAAAAAAUUCUGCUUCCCUAGGUAGAUUGUACCGGAUGCCCCAGUUUCCACAAAUAAAACCCUUCGUUGCUCCCAGUUUUGAACA
rnacentral:lncRNA from 1 species